CCUCUCCAGAGUCACCAUACCUCAAAAACUAAAUGGAUAUUCAGAUUAUUGCUUGUUUAGCAGAAAUCCAAAGAAAGGAGAGAUAUAUUGAAUACUCUUCAUCCCACAAGCAAACUCAACCAUGGUUCCACCUUGUUUCAACAAUACAAACUCUUUCAAGCACAGAAAAUUCCAAAAUGGCCCCUGACCAGAUGAUGAGCCAAUGUCCGGAAAUGUAGAACACAGCCACCUGCUAUCCAAAAGCAUUUCUAUGAAUUGUAAAUGGAUCUUUUUAGAUCCAUUAUAGUUUUGGAGUCCAUUUUUAUAGUAGUUUAUCAUUAUCAUAACAAAUACAAAUGGAAACUAAGAAAAUGGUGAUGGUGAUAAUGAAUUUAAAUAUGUUGUGAAGUUUAGCUUUUCCGCCUGCUCCCCCCGCCCCGGCGCGCUCCCACCACUCUGCGAUCCGUCGCAGCUCUGGGCUUCUGCCGCACCAGCGCGUGGCCUCCUCCCUCCAGCCGCAAUCGUGAUCAUCUACCCGGAUCUCAUCAGCCAUGAUGAGAUGUUCUCCAACAUUUACAAGAUCCGGGAGAUCCUGGAAGGGUUGUGCCUGGAGGUGUGGCAUUGAUGACUCCCUCAUUGGUGGAAAUGCCUCUGCCCAAUGCCCUGAGGGUAAAGGUACGAAAGCACAGUCGUCACUGGUGUUGAUAUUGUCAUGAACCAUCACAUGCAGGAAAACAGCUUCAUAAAAGAAGCCUGCAAGAAGUACAUCAAAGAUUACAUGCAAUCAAUCAAAGGCAAAAGUGAAGAACAAAGACCAGGAAGAGUAAAACCUUUUAUGAUAAGGGGCUGCAAAACAAGCCAAACACAUCCUUACUAAUUAAAAAAAACUACCAGUUCUGUACCGGUGGAAAACUGAAUCCAUAUGGUAUGGUUACUCUCCUGGACUACGCUGAGGAUGGUGUGAACCCAUAUAUGAAUUUCUUUAAAGAUGGUUCAGGAAAAGAGAAAUAUUAGCAAACUAGGCAGUUCCUUGCAUCUAUAACCUGUCAUUGUAACUGGCUGCUGCUUUUCAUCCACACAAUACUAGGACUUAGACAGAUGGACUGAUGCCAUCUUGAACUCUUCAUUUAUUUUGACUUUGAUUUAUUGGGAGCAGAGGCAUUGUUUUUUAAGAAAAACAUGUCAUGUAGGUUAUCUAAAAAUAAAAAUGCAUUUAAAGUCAUUUGAGAGAAUGCCUCUUAGUUUAAUAUAUUUAAGCUAAAUUCAUCCUAUAGUUUUCCUGGAGAAGCUAGAGUCUGUAGAUAACUGCUAUACAGCAUAAGACUGUCUUCAGAUAACAUCUACAGUUAACUUACUUCUGGGACUGGAAUAUAAAAACAAGAACCAAAAGUCUUAAUUCUAAAUUGAAGGAAGGAGACCAUAUUCAUAGCAUUGCCAGCAUUUGAAGUGAAUCUUUACACAUUUCAUCAUCUACAAAUGGAUGUAGUUAAUUCUGGAAGAGUUUUACCAAAAGAAUAAAGAGACUAUAAUACAAUUGGAAAAAAAAAAAAAAAAUAGAAUAGGUGGGAUGAUAACCAAAGAUGGGC